rnacentral:rRNA from 1 species
UACGGGGGGGGCAAGCGUUGUUCGGAAUUACUGGGCGUAAAGGGCGCGUAGGCGGCCUUCUAAGUCGGACGUGAAAUCCCUCGGCUUAACCGAGGAACUGCGUCCGAUACUGAAAGGCUUGAAUCCGGGAGAGGGAUGUGGAAUUCCAGGUGUAGCGGUGAAAUGCGUAGAUAUCUGGAGGAACACCGAUGGCGAAGGCAGCUCUCUGGCCUGACACUGACGCUGAGGUGCGAAAGCGUGGGGAGCGAACGGG